GACUGCAUCUUUCCUUUCUGCAGUCGCGGCUG
rnacentral:ncRNA from 1 species